UACGUGGUAGGAAUUAUCAGAGAGUAAAGCUUGUAGCAGGAAAAUUUGAAAGGUUUUGAGAGAUUCUGAAGAAAGAAGCAGGCACUUUCUGAAUCAGUGUACAGACGUCAACAUUUGAUCAAAUUACUACUACCUCUUCCCCAUUGUUGGUGUUCACUUGAUAUAUAUGUGUUUAAGAAAAUUAAAAGUAUGGGAUAUUUGUCCAGCAUAUCAGAAAGUCGUAAAUGCUAUGUCUGGUAUCCAGAGCUUGGCAGUAAAAGUUUCUUGUGUUCACUGUCUCUCCCUUUUUUAAGUUAGCAUUAGAAAAAUGCAAAACCUCAUACCUUGAAAUAUAUUUUUCCUAAUGGGGUUCCCUUCCUUUUGCACAUAUUUUUCCCCUUAUUAAAGUCAGCUCUAACCCCGAAUUAAAGUAUCAAAGUAUUUUCAUUAUAUAGAUAAAGUUAGUUGGAAAAUAUGUUUUUAUUAGUUUUAUUCAGAGCUGCCAUUCUUUUUAGUCAUUUCUGUGCCUAGAGAUGAGUAGUCCUGCAUUUGAAGCCACACCCACAGAUAUGAUAUGCUUCGUACUCUAGGCCAAGGAUUUAUUGGUAAGUUGAACUUUUUAGCAUAGUCAUUAUGAUUUUCAGCUGCCUAGACAUCGGGUAAACACCAUUCAGUACACUAAAGAAACUGUCCUUGACUCUCUCCCACUCCCACCUAUUUUUCCUCACCCCCUUUUCAAAAAUUGAAAACACUAUGAGUGUCUUUUUCAGACCAUAAGGCAGACUUUAGUAGCUUUCUACUUCUGUAACUAAAUGGCAUUUUAAACUUUUAUAGAAUACAUUGUGUUGGACACUGGAAUAAUACUGUUUAUUUUCACCUGUGAAAAAUUACUUUAUUGUACUUGAAACACCUCCUUUGCAUUUCUCCAUUUGUGCCAUUCACUAGUGGAAAUAAAUUGUAUUAUACCAUAAUCUACUGGCUUUUAAAAACUGUGUUAAAUAUGCACAUUUUUGGUAUAGUUAUUAUCAUUUGUAUGUAUAUAUUGUAUAUACAUAUGAGUGUCUAUAUGUGUGUAUAGAUUGAUGAAUAUAAUUCAUACUGUACAUUUCCAUCAGGGCACUUAAGGUUCUGUUAUUUUGUUUCAUUAUUUUAGUCCUCAGUUAAGGCAAGAAUGCAUGUGUUUCUUAACAAUGAGUACUCUGGGUUGAUAUUUAUGAGAAGGUGGUCAUUAGAUGCAAUCUUUUCUAUUUUAAUCCCCUCUUAGCACUUGAGUGGGUGGAAAGAAAGUUAAGUAAAAUGUGGAACCAUAAGUUGCAAUGCAGUAAAAUAGUGCUGGGGAAGGAGCCAGUUAGUGUUUCUGUGAGUUUGUGUCAUGAUGCAAUGAAAGAUAGGUGAUGCAGAGAGAAAUGAACCAUGGAAACUAAAAACACUGGUGGUGAUUCCUCUGCAAAGAUAAAAAGAACCAAUAAGUCACAUAAUCUUCAUGUGCACUCCAUGCAUAUUUCUUAGUAGUGGUGCCAUUGAUCCUCUUACCCUUUUUACUCCAUUGAUAAUAAUUAUUAUAAAUUUUGCUAAGGACCAAAACAUCCAAGAAAGGAAUUACUGCUAAAGCAUCUAAGGUUCUCCUAAACUAUAAAAUCAACAGGAAAUGGCCACUGGGAGAGAAGGAUUUGGUAUUGGCAAGGGGCUUUCUCCUUUUAGCUGCCUCUUCUUGCUUGCUAAUAGUAAGUUCUUCAUGCACCUUCCACCCCUUCGGAGGCACUACUUUUCAAGCACAGAUUUGGCCCAACACUGCAACCCUUUCCUAAGUAGUUUAUAUGGCCCUGCGUUUUGUUCCAUGCUCACAAUGUGAAGUGUCUAGUGUAUAUUCCAGUCAGAAAAUAAUAUAUUUAAGGUGUAUAAGUGUGAAUCUCCUAUAAUGAUGGAAGAGGAGGCUCUUACUUCUUAGAAAACUGCUUUCUCUAAGGAACAAAUCUAAAACUUGGGCUGUCAUCUUGGAGCUGCUUACCAAAAUACAGAUCCUUAUUAAAGAGAAACAAAUUCUGUUUUCCCUCAUCUAUCAUGAUAGUGCCCCCCAACCAGGUUGUAGCAUUGCCUAUUAAAAGGCACUCACUUACUCUUAGUUGUUAAGAACUGGAAAUUUUCCAUCCUCAGAUUCCUUAAAGGAUGAAAAGUGUGCUGUACACUUAGCAGACUUGCCUCUUGUAUGCAAGGACUACUGAUUGAAGUCUAUUUUGCUGUGUGUCUGGUUAUGUUGUCUGCACUUUUAUUAAAUCACUACAGUAAGUCUACAUUGGAAGUGACUUAAUUUGUAAAGAAGUUUUAUUAAACACUGUCUAGAAAAAGAAAGUGAAGCUGAGAACUCUUCCUUUAUUGUGCAUUUAUAUUUUCUACUGAAUUCUGGUAGCCCCCUUUAAAGUCACAUUAACUAAUUCUUCCCUUGUUUAUAUUCAGAUUUCCAAAAUUUCACUCAUGCAAGGGAAGAGAAUCUAUUUGGCCUAAUGGUAGUCUUCAGAUCAUAAGAAAUAUGUAAAUUAGCAUGCACCUUAUCUGCCUGUUGUGGGUUUCUUAAACUUGCACUUCCCUCUCACGCACCCCCAAAUAGAUAUCCUUUAAAGAAAAUAAAGGCAGAGAAUUAAAACUGGGGAGCCAUUUACUAUGUCACCAUCACUGUUAACUGUUACCCAGCAAUCAGAACUUUUUGAAGUUUCAGAGCUUGUGUGUGUGUGUGUUUAUCUGUUUGAUUGUGUUGGGUUUGUUUUGUUUUUAAAUGUACAAGAGAGUCUUCUUUAAAUAGAGAAAAAGGUUAAUCCUCUCUGAAACAGGAUGCCCAUUGGAUAUACUAAUCUGGACAUCUGUAGGUAGUUUGCCAUGAAAAAGUAGAGAGAAGAUGAGACUUGUGAAUGAAUGAAAAGGGUAUCUUGAUACCCCAGAAUUCCCCCUAAAUUACGGGUAAUUCAACCUGCACAGUUUCCUUUUCACUCAUAGUUUUUAGCAAUUGUGAGUGAAGAAAUCAUGUAAUUAUCUGUAAAUAUUUAGCUAACAAAUUGACCUAGUUUCUGUAUUUUUUUGUUUUUGUACUAAAGUUUAUAAGUCUGUGCCAGCUAGAGAGGAGUUGCUGUCAUUGCCAGUUGUGGUCCUAGCAUCUAACCCUGAAACCAUCCUAGGUAACAUUUUUAGAAUUAAUGCUUCAGUGUUGUUAAACAGGGAGAAAUUAAGCUCAACCAUUGGUCAGGUUUAAAAUCUUUUGAAGCAAAGUCAUUUUAUUUAAUACAAUGAUUACAUGUCCUCAAUCAUGAAUGAGGUAGGGAACCUCCCUCCCCCAGUGGCCAUGUUUACAGAAGUGUGUUUUGUCUAUAAAGUGCAAGGGUUUUAAUGUUUAUGUAAAUUAUGCAGGUGAUAACAUUAUGGCUUGGAAUUGUUUAUUGGGCUCUCGCUGAAUUUUCAAAUGAAAUGAACUAUGCUUAAUUACUGGCACAUUGAUCCCAUUUCUGGAGCAUUUUCCUAUUUCCAGAAUUACAUGUAUUCCUUUGUCAAUCCUUUGACAAUUCCUUUGUCAUUAAAGCUGGUAAACAUAGAUGAGGGAAUUGCAUUUUUUUAAAAUCCAUGAACCUUCAUUUGUAUGCCUUCAUUACUCAUGUUUCUUUGGCAACUCUGAGGUCAGUGAAGUUUAGAAAUGAGAUACCAGUGUUAAUGAAAAGUGUGUACUCUUUGCUUUUGCAUGGCUUGGCUUAGCAUCAAGGGUAUAUUUGGGCCACUUGAAAGCAUGAAGACCAGUUGUAUGGGAACAGGUUUCUCUCAGUGGCACAUUUUGCUUUUUCUGAGCCCUCAAAUACAUUGCCUCAGCAUGAACAUUAUUGUUUCUAUAAAUUACACAUGGUCAUGGAAUGAAUUAUGUGAUUUAAAAGGAUGGAACUGCUUAAUGUUUGCAGAUUCCAGCUGGCCAUGUGACUAUUGGGCACAUAUCAAACAAACCUGGGGGGAAAUAUUGGAACCCUUCUAACCCUUUUUUGGUCAUAGACAAGUAUAUUUAGUUUAUUAAGAUGUUGGCUGCCCCUGGUAUGUUGCCAGAAAGCUCUUUUUUGGUGCCUAUUCCAAAUGUGCUUUCUUGCAUUUCAUAAUAUCAAAGAAACCACCACCCCUUCUUCCCAGCAGCAUUUUAUGUCAGACCUUUUAUUCCACAUUAAAUGGGAGUUGUGCCUACUUAGAGUGCCCCUCCAAUUAAUUACAUACACGUGUCCUAAAAUAAUCCAAGCAGGAGACACAGGUAGGAAAAUUUUUUUUAGGAAGUCCACUUGAGGCCAGUAAUCUGUCUGACAAGGUAUUUUACCACGUUAUCUUGCCACUUGAUAAAUGAGCCUAUUAGGAAUUGCAGGUGGUUUCAUAGGGCAAAAUCCAAGUAGAGAGGGAUAUGUGGGAUUUCUAUUAAGAGAUAAUUUUGUUAUUGUUUUACCUCUCCUUUUAUGAUCCUUCUCUGCUAGGUUAGAGUGGGUUAAUUCUCCAAAUUUAUUUUGUUUUUUAUUUUUUAGGGAAAUUUUUACAAAAGUGAUGGUCUGAUGUAAAUAACAUUUUGAAGUAUAGUGCACAUAAGUUCCCGAGACUAUUUCAACCUGAUAAUUUGUAAAUGCUUUAGAGUUUUUUUCAUUAACACUUGUGUUGCUAAAUCCUAUUUAUAUAAGUCUGCUAAAAAUUUUAACCCAUUUAAAACUUAAACAUUUAAAUAAUGGGUGAGUUACUCUGAGCAAUUUAGCUUUCAAAACCCCCUUGUUUUAGUACAUGAAAAAGAUAGCCUAAUGCGCAUUAAUGAGGUUGGAGAGACUAUGAGAAAUAUGUAUAGUGUAUAUUUUAAAACAGCUUUGCUUGUAUUGUGAAGAUUUAAAAACAAACUUGAGAUUUUUAACGUAACUAUUAACACAGUUUUAACAUAAGUUAUCCCACUGGGUUUAAGAGCAUCUUGAAUGUAUAAUCCUUUUUGUAACCCAGGUUGGUUUCUGCUUUUACCAGUCAUCCAAACAUAUUAUUUAUGAUUUUAGUUUUAUAUACUCAUUUACUUUUGUUUUCCUCAACCAGCAUGAUUUUUUUGCACAUGUAUUGUAGAAAUUUUUAAAAAGAAACAUCAGUACAUCAUUUUCUCUGGAUUUUCUUCACUUCUCUUCCUUUCUACUAACCCAUUACCUUAAAGGCCAUAUCACUCCAUUUGCAUUAUUUGUGCAAAUGCCAGGGUUGGUUUUUAUUUUUAUUUUUGCUAUUUACCU
rnacentral:lncRNA from 1 species